CGGCAUGCCUUACACAUGCAAGUCGAACGGUAACGGGUCCUUCGGGAUGCCGACGAGUGGCGAACGGGUGAGUAAUAUAUCGGAACGUGCCCAGUAGUGGGGGAUAACUGCUCGAAAGAGCAGCUAAUACCGCAUACGACCUGAGGGUGAAAGGGGGGGAUCGCAAGACCUCUCGCUAUUGGAGCGGCCGAUAUCAGAUUAGCUAGUUGGUGGGGUAAAGGCCUACCAAGGCAACGAUCUGUAGUUGGUCUGAGAGGACGACCAGCCACACUGGGACUGAGACACGGCCCAGACUCCUACGGGAGGCAGCAGUGGGGAAUUUUGGACAAUGGGCGCAAGCCUGAUCCAGCAAUGCCGCGUGCAGGAAGAAGGCCUUCGGGUUGUAAACUGCUUUUGUCAGGGAAGAAAUCUUCUGGGCUAAUACCCCGGGAGGAUGACGGUACCUGAAGAAUAAGCACCGGCUAACUACGUGCCAGCAGCCGCGGUAAUACGUAGGGUGCGAGCGUUAAUCGGAAUUACUGGGC
rnacentral:rRNA from 1 species